rnacentral:misc_RNA from 1 species
GUAUUGAUUGCGGGUUAGCGCAUAAAUGAGGUCAUUCUACACUUUUUAAAAGGGGUGUUUGUGUGAAAACGCGAGCCUCCUCCGAGAUGAUCCCAAAGGGUGCCCACGCGGUGAUGCACAAAGGGUGAGAUGGAUUAUUAUGUGAGGAAACACACCCGGGCGUGCACGACAUUGAGUCAGCGACAGCCCUUGCACCUCAGUUUUACGAUAAUGAUCCUUCCGCAGGUUCACCUACGGAAA